GACUCUCGGCAACGGAUAUCUCGGCUCUCGCAUCGAUGAAGAACGUAGCGAAAUGCGAUACCUGGUGUGAAUUGCAGAAUCCCGCGUUCAGCCGGAGGUAGGGUCCAGUGGCCGGAAGAGCACCGCACGUCGCGCGGUGUCC
rnacentral:rRNA from 16 species